rnacentral:rRNA from 1 species
UUAAACUGAAGAGUUUGAUCAUGGCUCAGAUUGAACGCUGGCGGCAGGCUUAACACAUGCAAGUCGAACGGUAACGGGUUGAAAGCUUGCUUUCGACGCUGACGAGUGGCGGACGGGUGAGUAAUGCUUGGGAAUCUGGCUUAUGGAGGGGGAUAACCAUUGGAAACGAUGGCUAAUACCGCAUAGUAUCGAG